rnacentral:misc_RNA from 1 species
AGACACCACAUCAUUUUCUAGAUCCGCCGUUUCCAUUUCCGUUUACUUCUUUUCUCGUCCGGAGUCAACGUGUUCAGUGAGAUUCCUACUGUUGAAAUUUUGUUAAAUUGUAUUUGAUUUACUUAUUUUCGCAAAAAUGUCGGAAACUUUUGAUAUGAAAGGUAGUUUGAGGGGACACAACGAUUGGGUCACUCAAAUUGCUACCAACCCGAAGAAUCCUGACAUGAUUCUAUCAUGCUCUCGAGACAAGACUCUGAUCAUUUGGAAAUUGAAGAAAGAGGAGUCCAACUAUGGUAUGCCACAGAAGCGUCUCUAUGGCCACUCACACUUUGUCAGUGACGUUGUACUAUCUUCCGAUGGCAACUACGCCCUAUCUGGCUCCUGGGACAAGACACUGAGGCUGUGGGAUCUUGCUGCCGGCCGCACCACCAGGAGGUUUGAAGACCAUACCAAGGUGUGAACAAAAUGAUGAAGCUUUUUUUUAUAAAUAUUAUGGAUUGGAACUUCUCAUUGUAUUGAAUAUUAAUUCUUCUGUGAUUUCCGCUAGCGACCCAAGGAUAGCAACCAGCAUCUAUAAAAAAAUAUUUCGAUUUUUUCUGCUCUAACUUCAUUUUCUGGCAACUGUCUAUUUAAAUAUAGUAAUAUCAAAGACUAUGACAAUAUUUCUACUUUGUUCUUUAAAAAAUUCCCCUUCUAAACCUGGAAUCCUAUCAUGUUUAGUUUUUGUUUGAUAGUUUUCUUCAAAUUAUAACAUUGAAAAAUCGUUUUGCUUCAUCAAUAUGUUUGAAAUUCAACUUUCAAAUUUUGCAAAGAAUAAUAACAAUAGACUGUUGUUUCUAAAUCAAUGUUCUAGAAUUUAAUUAUAUACUUAGGCCAAUCGAUUCUUCUCGUAGUUUUGGCAUUUCCUCGUAGGUUGACUCGAGCUCCAAUUUUUAUUGCUCGACGUAUUUUUCCUUGUUUCUUUCAAAAAAGAGCUGUUUCUUUCAUAAUCAGCUCUCCAACUCAUCUAUUAGUUCAAUUAGAAACUACCGGAAAUUAUAGAAAAAUUAAGUUGAAUACUAGAAUAUCCAGUCUGUAAUAAUUUUUUUUGAAAGAUAGAAGAGGAGCAUUCUUUAGGACGUUCUGAGUGUUGCUUUCUCCGUUGAUAACAGACAGAUUGUCUCAGGAAGUCGAGACAAGACCAUCAAGCUGUGGAAUACACUGGCUGAAUGCAAAUACACAAUUCAGGACGAUCACACUGACUGGGUGUCUUGUGUUAGGUUCUCUCCCAAUCACGCCAAUCCAAUCAUCGUAUCCGCCGGCUGGGAUAGAAUGGUCAAGGUGUGGAACUUGACCAACUGCCGCCUGAAAAUCAACCACAGUGGACACACAGGCUACCUCAACACAGUCACCGUAUCUCCCGAUGGCUCCCUGUGUGCAUCAGGUGGAAAGGACUGCAAAGCCAUGCUGUGGGAUCUGAAUGACGGCAAGCACCUCCACACAUUGGACCACAAUGACAUCAUUACAGCUUUAUGCUUCAGUCCAAACCGAUACUGGCUAUGUGCUGCUUUCGGACCAUCCAUCAAGAUUUGGGAUCUGGAAACAAAGGAAAUGGUGGAUGAACUGAAACCAGAAGUGGUGUCUCAACCAUCGAAGGCUGAACCUCCUCAGUGCCAGUCGCUGGCCUGGUCUACCGAUGGACAAACUCUGUUCGCGGGCUAUUCAGACAACAUCAUCAGAGUCUGGCAGGUCGCUGUCUCUAGAUAAUUGUUGACUUCCACUGAAAAUAAAAUAGAGUUUUUAUAACUUGCCAA